rnacentral:rRNA from 1 species
CACGUAGGCACCAAGCGUUGUCCGGAUUUAUCGGGCGUAAAGAGCUCGUAGGCGGUUCGGUAAGUCGGGUGUGAAAACUUUGGGCUCAACCCAAAGCCUGCACCCGAUACUGCUGUGACUCGAGUCCGGUAGGGGAGUGGGGAAUUCCUGGUGUAGCAGUGGAAUGCGCAGAUAUCAGGAGGAACACCGGUGGCGAAGGCGCCACUCUGGGCCGGUACUGACGCUGAGGAGCGAAAGCGUGGGGAGCGAACAGG